AUUGAACGUUGGCGGCAUGCCUUACACAUGCAAGUCGAACGGCAGCACGGGUGCUUGCACCUGGUGGCGAGUGGCGGACGGGUGAGUAAUACAUCGGAACAUGUCCUGUAGUGGGGGAUAGCCCGGCGAAAGCCGGAUUAAUACCGCAUACGAUCUACGGAUGAAAGCGGGGGACCUUCGGGCCUCGCGCUAUAGGGUUGGCCGAUGGCUGAUUAGCUAGUUGGUGGGGUAAAGGCCUACCAAGGCGACGAUCAGUAGCUGGUCUGAGAGGACGACCAGCCACACUGGGACUGAGACACGGCCCAGACUCCUACGGGAGGCAGCAGUGGGGAAUUUUGGACAAUGGGCGAAAGCCUGAUCCAGCAAUGUCGCGUGUGUGAAGAAGGCCUUCGGGUUGUAAAGCACUUUUGUCCGGAAAGAAAUCCUUGGCCCUAAUACGGUCGGGGGAUGACGGUACCGGAAGAAUAAGCACCGGCUAACUACGUG
rnacentral:rRNA from 1 species